UACGUAGGCAGCAAGCGUUGUUCGGAAUUACUGGGCGUAAAGAGUGUGUAGGCGGUGCUCUAAGUUCGGUGUGAAAUCUCCUGCUUAACUGGGAGGGUGCGCCGGAAACUGGAGUGCUCGAGCGUGGGAGAGGAAAGCGGAAUUCCUGGUGUAGCGGUGAAAUGCGCAGAUAUCAGGAGGAACACCGGUGGCGAAGGCGGGGUCUCUGGGCCGUAACUGACGCUGGAGGAGCGAAAGCGUCGGGGAGC
rnacentral:rRNA from 1 species